rnacentral:rRNA from 1 species
AUUGAACGCUGGCGGCAGGCCUAACACAUGCAAGUCGAGCGGAGCGGCGGACGGGUGAGUAAUGCAUAGGAAUAUACCUGGUAGUGGGGGAUAACGUCAGGAAACGGGCGCUAAUACCGCAUCCUAGCAGCUGACCCUAGGUCGGAUUAGCUAGUUGGUGGGGUAAAGGCCUACCACGGCGACGAUCCGUAACUGUUCUGCGAGGAUGAUCAGUCACACUGGAACUGAGACACGGUCCAGACUCCUACGGGAGGCAGCAGUGGGGAAUAGUGGGCAAUGGGCGAAAGCCUGAUCCAGCCAUGCCGCGUGUGUGAAGAAGGUCUUCGGAUUGUAAAGCACUUUAAGUUGGGAGGCGUUACCAACAGAAUAAGCACCGGCUAACUUCGUGCCAGCAGCCGCGGUAAUUC